CUUGGUUGUUGCCGGUUUUUUCGGGGGCCCGGCAAUUCCCGGAGCGAAGGUGUUAAAGCGGGCCGCUUGGGGAGUACGGCCGCAAGGCUGAAACUUAAAGGAAUUGGCGGGGGAGCACUGCAACGGGAGGAGCGUGCGGUUUAAUUGGAUUCAACGCCGGAAAACUCACCGGGGGCGACCGGCAUAUGUGGGCCAGGCUGACGACCUUGCCCGAAUAAGAGCCGGAGAGGUGGUGCAUGGCCAUCGUCAGCUCGUACCGUAGGGCGUUCACUUAAGUGUGAUAACGAGCGAGACCCCCAUCCCCAGUUGCCACCUGUCCCUCCGGGGGCAGAGCACACUGGGGAGACCGCCGGCGCUAAGCCGGAGGAAGGUGGGGUCAACGGUAGGUCAGUACGCCCCGAAUCCCCCGGGCUACACGCGCGCUACAAAGGGCGGGACAAUGGGAUGCGACCCCGAAAGGGGGAGCUAAUCCCGAAACCCGUCCGUAGUUCAGAUCGAGGGCUGUAACUCGCCCUCGUGAAGCUGGAUUUCCGUAGUAAUCNNNGGGUCUACCUACCCGCGUGAANGCGC
rnacentral:rRNA from 1 species